CUCGUACCUUUUGCAUCAUGGUCUAGGUAGUUUAAACAAGCAAAACGAAUUUUAGUUUGCCCCCCCGAAACUAAGUGAGCUACUUCAAAACAGCCCCAGGGCCAACCCGUCUCUGUUGCAAAAGAGUGGGAAGAUUUUCAAGUAGAGGUGAUAAACCUACCGAACUUAAANAUAGCUGGUUACUUAAGAAACGAAUAUUAGUUCGACCCUGAACCUNCCAUUAAACAAAAACUCCUAUUAGGCUCAGGAUUUAUUCAAAUAAGGCACAGCUUGUUUGAACUAGGAUACAACCUCGAAUAAAGGGUAAAACUAUAGAUAUGCUCAGUAAGUAGGCCUAAAAGCAGCCACCUUUAAAAAAGCGUCAAAGCUUAACAUCAUUAAUCUCCUCAAUACCUUAAUUUUUCUUCAGCCCUUUCCUACUAUUAAGUGACCCCAUAACUUUAUGGGAGCUAUUAUGCUAGAACUAGUAACAAGAAAAAGAUUUUUCUCCAAAAUGUAAGUUUAAGCCACAAUAGACCACCUACUGGCAAUCAACGCAAAUGAGCCCCAUUUAGUAACGCCCCAAGAAAACCCUAAAAAAUUUUAGCGUCAACCUUACACUAGAGCAUUCAUGGAAAGAUUAAAAGGGGUGGAAGGAACUCGGCAAAUUUUGAUCCCGCCUGUUUAC
rnacentral:rRNA from 1 species